GCCACUUCCCCAUGGCCCUGCGCUGUCUUCGCCCUUACCUCAGGGCUUUGUCCCAGCAACCAGCUCAGGGCUCCUUCUCGUUCUCUCUGGACCUGACCCAUGGCUGAACUUUAAAGACUGGUUAGGAAGAGAUGGAAAUGAAUAGAGCUGUGAAAUGCAAGUCUGCAUUGUUAGAGAGAGAAGGGGAGAUGUUUGCUCAGGUCUUGUGAUGUCAGCAAACAAGUCUUGUCUAUUGCUAUAGCUUUGAUUCAAAGAUCAAAAAAGGAAUAUUAACAUUUAGGAAGACACUUGAGUGAAAUAGUAUUAUUGUCUAUGUCUCAUUGAAGGUUGUGAUAACCUGUAUAUGAAGAGCUUCAGAGUAACAGCCAUGUUAGUCUGUAUCCUCAAAAAGAACAGGAG